rnacentral:lncRNA from 1 species
ACCACGAGGUUCGGAAGAGAAUUCCGACCAACCCUUGAAAAAAUCACCGGAAAACCAUCAUCCACGCGCCCCCACGCGCCUGCAAUACCCUCGGCGCGUGAGCCCACGCGCCGGCGCGUGAGGGCAGUUCCGGCCAGUUUUUUAGUUCGCUCCUUCAGGACAGUUUGGUCGGCCUUCAAUUCCGACCUUACCCAUCCUUUUUUCGUUCGAUUCCGACAACUUUCAGUUUUUUCCGGCGACUUUAUUGACUUUUCCGGCAGCUACAGUACUUUUCGGCCAGAAUUUCUUCAGGACAGUUUGCUCCACCUUGAAUUCCGAGCCUAUCCAUAUUUUUACUUUUCAAUUCCGACAACUUUGAAUUUU